rnacentral:rRNA from 1 species
UACGGAGGGUGCAAGCGUUAUCCGGAUUCACUGGGUUUAAAGGGUGUGUAGGCGGAUAUUUAAGUCAGUGGUGAAAUCUCCGGGCUCAACCCGGAAACUGCCAUUGAUACUAUUUAUCUUGAAUUCUGUUGAGGUGGGCGGAAUACAUCAUGUAGCGGUGAAAUGCUUAGAUAUGAUGUAGAACACCGAUUGCGAAGGCAGCUCACUAAACAGACAUUGACGCUGAGGCACGAAAGCGUGGGGAGCAAACAGG